CCCUUCAGAGGGGGACAACAGUUGGAAACGACUGCUAAUACCGCAUACGAUCCAAUCUCGGCAUCGAGACUGGAUGAAAGGUGGCCUCUAUUUAUAAGCUAUCACUGAAGGAGGGGAUUGCGUCUGAUUAGCUAGUUGGAGGGGUAACGGCCCACCAAGGCGAUGAUCAGUAGCCGGUCUGAGAGGAUGAACGGCCACAUUGGGACUGAGACACAGCCCAG
rnacentral:rRNA from 1 species